UACGAAGGGGGCUAGCGUUGUUCGGAAUUACUGGGCGUAAAGCGCGCGCAGGCGGUCCUUCAAGUCAGGGGUGAAAGCCCAGGGCUCAACCCUGGAAUGGCCUUUGAGACUAGAGGACUUGGGUACGGGAGAGGUGAGUGGAAUUCCGAGUGUAGAGGUGAAAUUCGUAGAUAUUCGGAGGAACACCAGUGGCGAAGGCGACUCGCUGGACUGAUACUGACGCUGAGGUGCGAAAGCGUGGGGAGCAAACAGG
rnacentral:rRNA from 1 species